rnacentral:rRNA from 1 species
AUGGAGUUGUUCAAUUGUCUUUAUGCCGACCGACUUGAGCUAUUUAGGCUUAAUUUUGGCGAGAUUGUCUUGUUUCCAAAGAUCAAGGAGGCUGAACGGAUCCAGCAGUUUAGACCCAUAUGCCUCCUCAAUGUCAUUUUCAAGAUUUUCACCAAAGUGGCUCUAAGUGGAGUAGUAUUCAAAAUUGACUUUGAAAAAGCCUAUGACAAGGUCAAAUGGUCUUUCCUCCAACAGGCCCUAAGGAUGAAAGGUUUCUCUGAAAUAUGGUGCCAUUGGAUCCAAAAUUUUGUAACUGGAGGUAGCGUGGCCAUCAAAGUCAAUGAUGAUGUAGGUCAUUACUUCCAGACAAAAAAAGGACUACGGCAGGUUGACCCCAUGUCCCCAAUGUUAUUUAACAUUGUGGCUGACAUGUUGGCAAUUCUAAUUGAGCGCGCCAAGCAGGACGGGCAAAUUGCUGGGGUAGUGCCA